GGGAAAGGUGAGUGGGUCUUGGUUUUGGUUGGGGAAGGUCAGGUCAGGGGACAGAUGAUGGGGAAGGAGGGGAGGUGAGAUUGGGGAAAGGUGAAUGUCUCUUGAAGAAGGGGAAGAAGGUGCAAAGAGGAAGGUGUUUAGAAGAUAUGAUCGGAAAAAAAAAUAAAAGACACCUCUCCUCCCGAAAUUGACCUCUCUUUUUGGCCACUCCUUUGACCUCUAUUCAGGACCAGUAGCGGAAUUUUUUUUAAUAUUUAUCUUUACACUCUUGAACUGUCUCCUUAGCUGUAAAAAAAAAAAAGUUAUACGUAAAAGUUAUAUUAAGUAACCAUAACAAUAACAAAAAAGAAAACGAAAUAAUAAGUAAAUAAUAAACAGUAUAGAGUUGAAUAAAAAUAGAACACAGUGACAAAUCGAAAGUUAAUCACAUAGAAAGUAAAAUUGCUAUAUCAGUUACCUGGUCACCGUGUCAUCGUCUUCGCCAGGUAAACACACACAGGUAAACACAAACACACAUACACACACACACCUUUUGUUAGUAAAUACUGGAGUACUCUUACGUGUUAUCUUGGGAACACGCACACGGCUGACGCAACACACACACACACACACACACACACACACACACACACACUAACGCAGGUGCUUCGAUAUCUGAUUGGACUGUAACCUAUGAUCAGACUCUCUCUCUCUCUCUCUCUCUCUCUCUCUCUCUCUCUCUCUCUCUCUCUCUCUCUCUCUCUCUCUCUCCCCCUCCUUCUCCAUCCCUCCUCCUCCCUCUCCUUCUUCAUUUCCUCCCAACCCGGACUUUGAGACGACUGGAGGGAAGAGGAGAGAGGGAGGGGGAGAGAGGAGAGGAAAGGUGGAAGGUUGAAAGGAAAGAGGAGGAAGAGAGGAAAGGUGGAAGGUUGAGAGGGAAGUGGAGGAGGAGAGGGAAGGUGGAAGGUUGAGAGGGAAGUGGAGGAGGAGAGGAAAGGUGGAAGGUUGAGAGGGAAGUGGAGGAGGAGAGGGAAGGUGGAAGGUUGAGAGGGAAGUGGAGGAGGAGAGGGAAGGUGGAAGGUUGAGAGGGAAGUGGAGGAGGAGAGGAAAGGUGGAAGGCUGAGAGGGAAGUGGAGGAGGAGAGGGAAGGUGGAAGAUUGAGAGGGAAGUGGAAGAGGAGAGGCAAGGUGGAAGGUUGAGAGGGAAGAAGGGGAGAGGGAAGAGGAGGAGGAGAAGGAAGUGAAGUAGAGGAGGGAAGCAGGUAGGAGAGGAGAGAAGAAGGAAGGAGAGGAGAGAAGGAAAGUGAAGGAGAGGAGGAGGAGAGAAGGGAAGGAGAAAGCAAGGAAAAGAAGGGAGAAGGAAAGGGAAAAAGGAGAGGAAGAGAGGGAAAGAAGGUGAAGAAAGAAGAAGAGAAGAGGAGGAGAAAUGAGAAGGAGAGAGAGCAAGGACUGGGAAGGUGAAGAAGGGAGAAGGAGAGGAAGAGAGGGAAAGGAAGGUGAAGGAAGAAGGAAAAUGGAAGAAGGGGGGAGAAGAAGAAAGAAGGAAAUGGAAGAAGGGGAGAAGGAGAAGCAAGAAAUAUAUAUAAAAAAAAAGGAAUGUGGAGAGAAGAAGGAAGAAGGAGGGAAGGGUGGAGGGACAAUUGGCAGGUGGAGCGAAAAUAUGGGUGGAGGUGUUGUUAUUUUUUUGUGUGUGUCCUUGAAAUACCUUUAAGCCAGGUGUUCAAGGUCAUGGCCACGAGGAAUACCUGUCUGUCUGUCUGUGGAAGGAAGAGGAGUAAGAGGAGAGAAUGGAAAAUGAGUAAAGAGGAGAAUAUGAAGAGCAAAAGGUAAAGGAGAGGAUGGAGGACAAAGAGUAAGAAAGAGCAGAGAGAAGGGGAAGAUGAGGGAUGGAUAAUAAAGAGGGGAAUAGGGAAAGUAAGAGAAAGAAAAAGAUAAAUAAAUUGAACAGGAAAAGGAGGGAGAGGAUGAAGAAGAAGCCGUAACGAAGAGCAGGAUAAAGAAGGGGAUGAUGAGAAAUGGAGAAUCGAGUAAAGAGGAGAAUAGGAAAAGUAAGAAAAAGAAAAUGAGAAAGAAAUAAAGAAGUAAGAAGAGAGAGGAUGAAGAAGCCGUAACGAAGAGGAGCUGGAUAAAGAAGGGGAUGAUGAGAAAUGGAUAAUCGAGUAAAGAGGAGAAUAGGAAAAGUAAGA